CUUUCCCAGACUUUGCAGAUUGACCUGUAUGAGAAAAACGGAAGCUAAGAGAAGAAAGUAACAUGCUCAAGCUCACAAGAGGAUGCAGAGUGCUGCAGGGUCCUGAUGAUCAUUGAGUAGCAAAACAGCAUGAUCCCCAAGGGGAUCACCA